rnacentral:lncRNA from 1 species
CCAAGAGUUUAUUACAAAUUAUUGCUGUCCGGAAUAAAGAAAAUAUACAUCGGAAAAUAUAUAUAAAAGUACAACCAAAGGAGAGCCUGAUUCAGACUUUAUGUCUGAAAUAUGAGGUAAACCAACUCCACGAAAUCAUGAUCCAAAGCCGUUCUCCCAUUUGAGUGUAUCAAAGUAACCUAAGAGCCUCAAAGGGACACAGGGCAAUGCUCACGCCCAAAUAUAUAAUCAGAUUAGUACAAUGUGGAAGGGCCAACCCUCAAGUGUCCAAGUUCAUAGGGAACUCAAAGGGUCCCAAGGUAAGGCUCGCAACAGGGGUGCAGAACUUAAAGACUAAGAGUGUGCAAGUGCAGAAUAGAAUGCUAAAGGCAAAAAGGAGAGGGAAACAACUACUAAUAAACGCACAUAGGGGGGUUCAGGGUAAUAUGGAUAUUGUAAAGAGCGUAUUGCUUAGGCAAGGGAAGGCGUUCGGCAUGCCCAGCAAUGGAGGAUGCUAGCAUAAUCGUAAGCCUGCUAGAACACACAUUAUCAGAGGCUAGUAUCCUAGGGGAUCUAGUUUAAUUAAUCGACAAUAAUUUUCAUAUUGCCAUGCCUCAAACCAUAGCAUGAACACAUAGGGGCAGGGGUUUGGGAUUCAUAAUAGAACAUGCAGAAAGAAUUCAGUAGUUUUGAACCACACAGAAGCAGUAAGCAGACAGGGAUACAAAGCAGUAAAUAAACACAUUAUUGUGGUGCUAGAAAGCUUAAAUCAUGAUAUACCAGCCUCAAAGAAGGAAAUAAAGAAAGGCAGGCGUCAGGUCUUGUAAACAUGCCACAAUAUAAGCAACAAGAGAGAAUACUUUUGAGUGUAAGUGCAAAAAGUCUACGAGUGGUGGAUGUCUUUUAUUAGUGAAAGAGUCGUGUAUUUAUAGUGUGAAAAACAAGCAUAAAUAAGGUAAGAAAAAAAUUAAGGAACUGGAUAUCAACUAAAAAUCAAUCAAUACAAUACUUCCUUUAAUUAAGGAAUUCAGACUUAAAUAGUAAAAGUUAUUUAAGAAAAAAAAUCAAAUAAGCAUUUUUUGCAAAGUAGGCAAUUAGGGGUAAAUACAUAGGGGUUUGAUUAAGGGAAGAAAUUUGAAGUACACGGUUAAAAUAAAUAAGGUAAGAAUCAAUCAGUACAUAGAGAUUAGAGAUUGUGUAAUCACCGGUUCAUGAAUGAACCAAUUUAGAAGAGUUAAAGAAAGUUUUUGACUCAAAUCAAGUAAUAGGGAAGUCAGCAAGCAAGGAAAGAAAUCACUCAAACUUAUACAAAGGAAGUCUGAAAUCAAUCAAAAUUGAAAGCCAUUUUUAGAGGGAAUUUCAGCAUAUAUAAGAGUAUAUAAAUAUGCUAGGCCAAAUUUAGGGUAUAAAAACGUCAUGCCAUAGCAAAAUAAGUAUGUAGUAGAAUGUAAGAUCAUGGUAGUCACAUAGGUCAGCUAUGUAGAAGAGAUGGUAUCAAAUAGCAUACAAAAGGUCCAGUAUAAGGACCUUAGAAGAGUUUAGUAGAGAAUCAGAAUUUCUUAAAGAAACAUAGGUUGAGAAAAAGAUUUCAAGACUCAGUUGAGCAGCAGAUGAAACAAAUUCAGAAAUUUGAAAUAGGUCCAAAAGAGUUAGGGUUUCUGGAAUAAAAAAAGUUCAAGCAAAUCACAUAACAAAUGGCCUCAAAAUUCGGAUGAACCCCAAAGUUUUAGGGUUUUUACCAUCAAUCGAGUGCAGAGAUAAGAGGAUAAGUAAUCAAGGAAAAAGAUGUUAAUCGAGACAGGUUCAGAGGUCUCAGAAAGGAUCUGAGACCUUUAACAUGCUCUUUCAGUAGCAGGAACUCGUGAGAAGCAUAUUAAAAGAACAACAUGCGAUAUACAGUAGAAGAAACUAAUAAGAACGCAGUAGGAGAAACAUAUAAAGAAGCAUCGUAGAAGAAACAUAAUAAAAACACAGUAAAAGAAACACAUACAGAACACAAUAGGAGAAACAUAUAAAAAAGCAUAGUGGAAGAAACUUAAUAAGAACACAGUAGAGGAAAAUGAUAAGAAACAUAGUAGAUAAAACACAUAAGAGAAACAAAUCAGAGAACAUCUAAGUAACUCAAAAAAUCCUAGAUCGGAAAAAUAAAGGUUUUGAAAGCAUAGUUUUGAAAGAAAUCUCAAGAAAUCAUUUAAAAGUUCAGGGAAAACAUGGAUCUAGAACAGAUCUAAAGAAAUUAGAAGAACCUCAAAAUCUAGGAUUUCAGCAGAAUCCAAAUGGCGAGAAAGAAUUGGAUAAUCAUUGAUUUAAGAAGGAGGAAUUGAGGCCAUGCUCGAACAGACAUGGCUUGCCGGAGCAUGGCCAGAGAUGGCCAUGGAACUUGAAUCAAGUAAGGUCUGGACCCAUCUUCUUCGUGGUCAGGUCAAGAGGCUUCAGUAACCAAGCGUGGAGGAGCCACAGAAGGCUAGUGGGUGGUGAAACCACCAUGGAUUUAGGCAAUAAAAUGGUCGGGAAGGUGCGUGAAGCUCAUCGGAGCGGAGGGGAAGGGGGAAGGUUCUAGAGAGAACCAGAGAUAGAUAUGAGAGUCGG